GGGCCCGUGGCGCAGCCUGGAUAGCGCGGCAGCCUUCUAAGCUGAUGGUCGAGGGUUCAGGUUAAGAUUUAAAGCUUAGCCGCCCAAAAAUCCCUUCGGGCCCG
rnacentral:tRNA from 1 species